AGCCCCAAGGUGUUCAACAUAUAAGAUUGCAAAUCUUGAGAGGCAGACUAACAUCUGCUGGGGCUU
rnacentral:tRNA from 1 species